rnacentral:rRNA from 1 species
AUACGUAGGUGACAAGCGUUAUCCGGAUUUACUGGGCGUAAAGGGCGUGUAGGCGGUCUUGCAAGUCAGAAGUGAAAUUCCUGAGCUCAACUCGGGCGCUGCUUCUGAAACUGCAGGACUUGAGUGCUGGAGGGGAUAGCGGAAUUCCUAGUGGAGCGGUAAAAUGCGCAGAUAUUAGGAAGAACACCGGUGGCGAAGGCGGCUAUCUGGACAGUAACUGACGCUGAGGCGCGAAAGCGUGGGGAGCAAACAGGAUUAGAUACCCAGGUAGUCCACGCCGUAAACGAUGAAUACUAGGUGUAGGGGGUAUCGACUCCCUCUGUGCCGCAGUUAACACAAUAAGUAUUCCGCCUGGGGAGUACGGCCGCAAGGUUGAAACUCAAAUGAAUUGACGGGG